rnacentral:antisense_RNA from 1 species
AAAUAAUAAUAGUGUGCUCCAUUUUUAGGAUUGCAGAACAG